rnacentral:misc_RNA from 1 species
GGAUUGAAAGGCAAAGAAACACAACGCACGGAUUUUUUUCUCUUUUCAUUGCUAUAUAAAUCCAUUUGUUAACGCUUUUAUAAAUGUUUUAUCCCCGUUAUAGCGUUUAAUGUUAUAUAACUAUGUUCUAAAAAUCAUAUUAACUUGUACAUAUAUUGUUUUUGUUUUAUUAUAUUUUUACAAAAACAUGUAUAUAAAAAUUAUUGCAAUCAUAUUUAUAUAAAACUGCCUGUGUGUGUAUCAGCUGACAUUAGCUUUCAUCGUUUUAUAUUGUUGUUUGGCGAGUUUAAAGGCGAUUAGCAUAAUGUAUGUAUGCUUUGAAAUAGAUCUUGUAUAAAUCAACAGCUUUUUGUGACCGUGCCUAGCAAGAUAUUGCAUAGGUGUUGUUUGUUCUGUGUAGAUGUUAAAUAACAUAUACAGGGUGAUCUGAUGUACAAAACGGCAAACGUAAAGAGGUGAAUAUUCUGCCGCCCCCCCCCCUUUUUAUAUGUAAUAUACCUGUGAUAUAUUAUCCCGUUUUCUUAAAUUACGAAUGUCAUUUGUUCUUCUGUUUCUUCAAAAGACUUGUUGAUAAUUUUUCCGACGUUUAUUACUGCGAAAUAAAUCUAUUUUGUC